CCUACGGGAGGCAGCAGUGGGGAAUAUUGCGCAAUGGGCGAAAGCCUGACGCAGCGACGCCGCGUGUGGGAUGAAGGUCUUCGGAUCGUAAACCUCUGUCAGCAGGGAAGAACGGUCACUGUGCUAAUCAGCAGUGAAUUGACGGUACCUGCAAAGGAAGCACCGGCUAACUCCGUGCCAGCAGCCGCGGUAAUACGGAGGGUGCGAGCGUUAAUCGGAAUUACUGGGCGUAAAGCGCUCGUAGGCGGUAUGUCAAGUCAAGGGUGAAAUCCCCGCGCUCAACGUGGGAACUGCAUUUGAAACUGGCAGACUGGAGUGUGUGAGAGGAGAGUAGAAUUCCAGGUGUAGGAGUGAAAUCCGUAGAUAUCUGGAGGAACAUCAGUGGCGAAGGCGACUAUCUGGCACAUAACUGACGCUGAGGAGCGAAAGCGUGGGUAGCAAACAGGAUUAGAUACCCGUGUAGUC
rnacentral:rRNA from 1 species